rnacentral:rRNA from 1 species
UACGAAGGGGGCUAGCGUUGCUCGGAAUUACUGGGCGUAAAGCGCACGUAGGCGGUUUCUUAAGUCGGGGGUGAAAUCCUGGAGCUCAACUCCAGAACUGCCUUCGAUACUGGGAGACUUGAGUUCGGGAGAGGUGAGUGGAACUGCGAGUGUAGAGGUGAAAUUCGUAGAUAUUCGCAAGAACACCAGUGGCGAAGGCGGCUCACUGGCCCGAUACUGACGCUGAGGCACGAAAGCGUGGGGAGCAAACAGG